rnacentral:rRNA from 1 species
GUGGGGAAUAUUGGACAAUGGGCGCAAGCCUGAUCCAGCCAUGCCGCGUGAGUGAUGAAGGCCUUAGGGUUGUAAAGCUCUUUCACCGGUGAAGAUAAUGACGGUAACCGGAGAAGAAGCCCCGGCUAACUUCGUGCCAGCAGCCGCGGUAAUACGAAGGGGGCUAGCGUUGUUCGGAAUUACUGGGCGUAAAGCGCACGUAGGCUGAUAUUUAAGUCAGGGGUGAAAUCCCGGGGCUCAACCCCGGAACUGCCUUUGAUACUGGGUAUCUUGAGUAUGGAAGAGGUAAGUGGAAUUCCGAGUGUAGAGGUGAAAUUCGUAGAUAUUCGGAGGAACACCAGUGGCGAAGGCGGCUUACUGGUCCAUUACUGACGCUGAGGUGCGAAAGCGUGGGGAGCAAACAGGAUUAGAAACCCUAGUAGUCC